rnacentral:rRNA from 1 species
GAUGAACGCUGGCGGCGUGCCUAAUACAUGCAAGUCGAGCGAACGGACGAGAAGCUUGCUUUUCUGAUGUUAGCGGCGGACGGGUGAGUAACACGUGGAUCACCUACCUAUAAGACUGGGAUAACUUCGGGAAACCGGAGCUAAUACCGGAUAAUAUUUUGAACCGCAUGGUUCAAAAGUGAAAGACGGUCUUGCUGUCACUUAUAGAUGGAUCCGCGCUGCAUUAGCUAGUUGGUAAGGUAACGGCUUACCAAGGCAACGAUGCAUAGCCGACCUGAGAGGGUGAUCGGCCACACUGGAACUGGAACACGGUCCAGACUCCUACGGGAGGCAGCAGUAGGGAAUCUUCCGCAAUGGGCGAAAGCCUGACGGAGCAACGCCGCGUGAGUGAUGAAGGUCUUCGGAUCGUAAAACUCUGUUAUUAGGGAAGAACAUAUGUGUAAGUAACUGUGCACAUCUUGACGGUACCUAAUCAGAAAGCCACGGCUAACUACGUG